CCUACGGGAGGCAGCAGUGAGGAAUAUUGGUCAAUGGGCGUAAGCCUGAACCAGCCAAGUCGCGUGAGGGAUGAAGGUUCUAUGGAUUGUAAACCUCUUUUAUAUGGGAAUAAAGUGUGGGACGUAUCCUAUUUUGUAUGUACCUUAUGAAUAAGGAUCGGCUAACUCCGUGCCAGCAGCCGCGGUAAUACGGAGGAUCCGAGCGUUAUCCGGAUUUAGUGGGUUUAAAGGGUGCGUAGGUGGCUUUUUAAGUCAGCUGUGAAAGUGUGUGGCUCAACCGUAGAAUUGCCGUUGAAACUGGGGGUCUUGAGGAUGGUAGAGGCGGGCGGAAUGCGUGGUGUAGCGGUGAAAUGCUUAGAUAUCACGAAGAACCCCGAUUGCGAAGGCAGCCUACCGGGCCACGACUGACGCUGAUGCACGAAAGCGUGGGUAUCAAACAGGAUUAGAUACCCGUGUAGUC
rnacentral:rRNA from 1 species